UCCCGGCCCGAAGGCACCAGCCCCCGGACGAGGAAUGGGCUGGGGUCCGGCGCCCGCCGCCGCAGCCACCCCCAGGCCGAAGCCGCCGGAGAGUUCGCUCGGGGUCUGGUGCGGCCGCAGCGCAACGCCGCCCCCGGAGGCGCUGCGGCAGGGGCCAGCUCUGCAGAGCCCCGCUCUUCGGCGCGGAGGAGGAGUUCGUGGUCAUUCUUUGGAAAUACUUGAAUUCAUUCCUGAGUGGGGCCCAGGGCAGGUCCCCGUUCCUGCCGAUGCCCAUGUCCUGGGACACGACGACGAUGCGGUUCAGCGUGCUACAAAAAUGAGGGGAAAUUAUAAAAAAUAAAUAACUUACACUUGUGCUUUCUGAUUGCUUCUAAGUACUCUAUGUUCUCUUUGUCAGAGAAAUUAAAGCUAGGUAUUUUAAACUAUAUAUUGUAUUUUUCUGUAGUGAAGAUAGCAUGUCAUUCCAAACUAUGUGGUUCAAUACUUAAGCCCAUGUUAUAGAAUUGAAGAGUGAAAGUACUUUUGUAUGUUUAUGUUAAAAAAUCUUAAUGGAUGUUUGUAUUUCUCUUGAUGAAAAGUGUCAAAUAUGUAUGAAAAUAGUGAGAAUGGUAUUAACUCCCCACACUUAGAAGCAAUAAAGGAAAAAAAUGGUAAAUUGGACUUCUUGAAAUUGAAAGCAUUUGUGCCUUGAAAGACUUAUAAAGACAGUGAAGAGGCAACACAAAGAUGGAAGAGAAUAUUUGCAAACCACAUUUAUGAUAAGGGACUGGCAUCCAGAAUACAUGUGUUACAAUUCAAUAAAACAAAAAAUCAAUACUGUAAAAUGGGCAAAGAAUUUCAAUAAACAUUUGUCUAAAGAAGUUGUAAAAUGACCAAUAAAUACGAAAUGAUGUUCAACAUCUUUAGACAUCAGAGACAUAUACGGGAUCGAGUCCUGCAUCAGGCUUCCUGCAUGGAGCCUGCCUCUCCCUCUGCCUGUGUCUCUACUUCUCUCUCUGUGUCUCUCAUGAAUAAAUUUAAAAAAAAUAAAAUCUUUAAAAAAUAAAUAAAGUAGGUUUUAAAGCCUUGAUUAGAUUAAUAGUCAAGGGUUUUUGGGCAUGUGUGUAAUUUCUCAUACUUCCCGACCCUGACAGUUUUUUUUUUUUAACUGACCAGUGAUAAGUUCCUAUACCAUUAUUUAGAAAUGCUGUAUUCUACUUAAUGGAAAAAUAUGACUCACCUAUUGAUGUUUGUUUACAAUCCUGGAUAAAUAAUGAGAACAAG